rnacentral:rRNA from 1 species
AACACACUGUGCUUGCACACCGUGUUUUCUUGAGUCGCGAACGGGUGAGUAACGCGUAGGUAACCUGCCUAUUAGCGGGGGAUAACUAUUGGAAACGAUAGCUAAUACCGCAUAAUAUUAAUUAUUGCAUGAUAAUUGAUUGAAAGAUGCAAGCGCAUCACUAGUAGAUGGACCUGCGUUGUAUUAGCUAGUUGGUAAGGUAAGAGCUUACCAAGGCGACGAUACAUAGCCGACCUGAGAGGGUGAUCGGCCACACUGGGACUGAGACACGGCCCAGACUCCUACGGGAGGCAGCAGUAGGGAAUCUUCGGCAAUGGACGAAAGUCUGACCGAGCAACGCCGCGUGAGUGAAGAAGGUUUUCGGAUCGUAAAGCUCUGUUGUAAGUCAAGAACGUGUGUGAGAGUGGAAAGUUCACACAGUGACGGUAGCUUACCAGAAAGGGACGGCUAACUACGUGCCAGCAGCCGCGGUAAUACGUAGGUCCCGAGCGUUGUCCGGAUUUAUUGGGCGUAAAGGGAGCGCAGGCGGUCAGGAAAGUCUGGAGUAAAAGGCUAUGGCUCAACCAUAGUGUGCUCUGGAAACUGUCUGACUUGAGUGCAGAAGGGGAGAGUGGAAUUCCAUGUGUAGCGGUGAAAUGCGUAGAUAUAUGGAGGAACACCAGUGGCGAAAGCGGCUCUCUGGUCUGUCACUGACGCUGAGGCUCGAAAGCGUGGGUAGCGAACAGGAUUAGAUACCCUGGUAGUCCACGCCGUAAACGAUGAGUGCUAGGUGUUAGGCCCUUUCCGGGGCUUAGUGCCGGAGCUAACGCAAUAAGCACUCCGCCUGGGGAGUACGACCGCAAGGUUGAAACUCAAAGGAAUUGACGGGGGCCCGCACAAGCGGUGGAGCAUGUGGUUUAAUUCGAAGCAACGCGAAGAACCUUACCAGGUCUUGACAUCCCGAUGCUAUUCUUAGAGAUAGGAAGUUACUUCGGUACAUCGAAAACAGGUGGUGCAUGGUUGUCGUCAGCUCCUGUCCUGAGAUGUUGGGUUAAGUCCCGCAACGAGCGCAACCCUUAUUGUUAGUUGCCAUCAUUAAGUUGGGCACUCUAGCGAGACUGCCGGUAAUAAACCGGAGGAAGGUGGGGAUUUGGUGG